UGUCCACGCCUUACCGAAAGGAGUCCUGACUCAGAGCUGCUGUGCCGUCCCUUCUCCUGUCCCUGCCUGGAAGAGGCCUAUCAGGUUGACCAAGCUUUGCUCCCACCUGUGGGUGAGAAGGGCAGAUGGCCGAGAGUGGGUGUGGAGGAGGAGGAAGACUGGAUGCCAAUGAUCCUGAUCUCACUCUGUCACCAAGGCUGGAGUGCAGCAGCACAAUUUCAGCUCACUGCAACCUCGACUUGCUGGGUUCAAAGGAUCCUCCCAAGUAGCUGGGACUACAGGUGCGCACCAUCAUGCCUGGCUAAUUUUUUGUAGGGAUGGAGUUUUACCAUGCUGCCCAGGCUGGUCUUGAACUUCUGAGUUCAAGCGAUCCUCCCUCCUGAGCCUCCUAAAGUGCUGGGAUUACAGGUUUAAAAAAUAUCCUGGACUUUGGAAAAUAUUCUUAUAUAAAGAAGCAAAAAGAAGAUGGAAUAGAGUUGUGCUAACACUGAAACUCCAGUCAAGCUGUAAACUGAAAAAGAACGUGUUGGAACUAGGAAUUGCCCCAUGGCCUUCACAGGUAACGCUGAUGCUUCAAGUCUUGGAACCACACUUCGAGAAUCACUGUUAUAAUGUACAGCAGAACUGCAUGAUCAGCUGUAUGGUAGCCUUGAAAACCAACAGGCCACAAUCACAGUGAAAACCUCAGGUUGGCAGCCAUUGGAGG
rnacentral:antisense_RNA from 1 species